AUUGAACGCUGGCGGCAGGCUUAACACAUGCAAGUCGAGCGGGGGAAGGUAGCUUGCUACCGGACCUAGCGGCGGACGGGUGAGUAAUGCUUAGGAAUCUGCCUAUUAGUGGGGGACAGCAUCUCGAAAGGGAUGCUAAUACCGCAUACGUCCUACGGGAGAAAGCAGGGGAUCUUCGGACCUUGCGCUAAUAGAUGAGCCUAAGUCGGAUUGGCUAGUUGGUGGGGUAAAGGCCUACCAAGGCGACGAUCUGUAGCGGGUCUGAGAGGAUGAUCCGCCACACUGGGACUGAGACACGGCUCAGACUCCUACGGGAGGCAGCAGUGGGGAAUAUUGGACAAUGGGGGGAACCCUGAUCCAGCCAUGCCGCGUGUGUGAAGAAGGCCUUAUGGUUGUAAAGCACUUUAAGCGAGGAGGAGGCUACUCUAGUUAAUACCUAGGGAUAGUGGACGUUACUCGCAGAAUAAGCACCGGCUAACUCUGUGCCAGCCGCCGCGGUAA
rnacentral:rRNA from 1 species